CCAAAGGCUCUUUUCAGAGCCACCGCAUGUUUUCACCAUCAGAGCUG
rfam:TPA: Bos taurus chromosome 23, whole genome shotgun sequence.